CAGGUACAAGCUUGGAGUAGACACCGACAGGCCGGGUUUCCUCUAAUCAACACCUCCACUCUAUCUCUCUCAAUCUAGUAGAAACUAGAAGAUCUAUUUCUACUUUAUAUUGGUUGCUAAGCCUAAAAAUAAAUAUUAAUUAGAGAAGAGGUUUUCCUUCGAGGGCACCCCUCAAUCUCUAUGAUAAUUUCUUGUUCUCUCUAGGGGCCAGGGGGUCUCCUUAUAUAGUCCUCCUCCUCUAUGCGUUUUUGGGUCGGUAGGUGAGGUGGUACUAUGUUUUCCUUGAUCCAAUAGGUCGGUGUAACAUCCCGUGCGAAGAGAGUCUUGAACUGGAUCCAACAGGGGGCGGGCGCCUAGGUCACCAGGGCGGGCGCCCUAGGCCUGGCUCCUUUCGGCCUCCGUCUUCUUCUCGUGGCUUCUGGAGUCUUCUAGAUGGUAGAAAAUCGCGCGGUGCGUUGAUAUCUCUAUGUAAUCCCGACAUGUGGGCCUUUCAUCCUUAUUUCCUGAUAACCCCCUGCAGAAACAGAUAAACAACAAAACUCAUGGAAUUCUGUCAGAUCAAACCCUAAUUCUAGGUGUUGGUUGCAUAUUGGUCCUUUCCCUUGUUUAUUUGAUAAUUAAAAUUGAUACUUAAGAACCGUCAACAAAUACCCCCAUACUUAGGCUUUUACUCGUCCUCGAGAAAAGGAUGGUUAAGAACAAUAUCUGGGUUUAAAAGCAUUCUCCUUAUAAUUGCAGGGUGUUAAAAAUCCACUGUGUACUAUAGUCAGGAAGUAUAUGGUUAAGAGUAAAGAUCCUUUCUUCUCAAUCUUGUUACUUGGAGUUUUUGUAUAUUUUUGAAAGAAAGUUAGCAUACCUUUUUAUCCUCAUAGGUUCUCUCAGAUCACUCAUUAUCUUUUAUAUAUAUAUCUCACUGAGGUUGUUUUAAUUUCCAAAAAUUCUCAAGCAUACUUACUUUGCAUUUAUUGCCUGAUCAAAACAGGAUCCGAGGAGGGGAAUGUCAUACUCUUAGAUCAAAGACUUUGGAAAUUAAAAUCUUUGUCAACUCUUGCUGGCAUAUUGCUUAUUAGAGGGACCAUGGGCUAUCAUUUUUUUUCUCUUUUUUCUUUUUUUUUAAGUGGAUACCGAGGUACCCCUAAUUCUACUGCCGGACACUCGUCCAUUUUUUCUGCGAGGUUGUCGAGCACUUGCUCCUUUUUAUUUCCUCGAAAUAUCUCUAUUUUUGCAUAGCCCAUGCCUCUAAUCCAAUAAUACUUCGGAAGAGUGAAUCUUUCUGAAUAAAUGUCUUGAUCUUAGGAGCAUGAUAAAUCUCUCAACAAGGGUCUAACUCAUUUUGAACAAACUCAAUACAGAGUAGAUAGCUUUAUAAUCAUAAUUAAUAUUUUCAGUUUUAUCAGGCAUAUAAAACAUUGAGGAUGGUAGCUAGAAUUUUGAAUAUUUUGAAAUAAAUUCUCCAAGCAACAAUGAUAUCAAGAAUAAGAAACUCAUACUCUACCAUCUCACAUUCCAUACUGACUUAAGUAACACAUGGUUUUAAAAUGAUUUUAUAAUAAUUACAAGUUUUCAGGAAAUAUCACAGAUUGAGAUUAAUCAUGAUUAGAAAUAUUUUAAUAUUUUUAAUUUAUCAUGUCAGAAAUAGUAAUCUGCAUAAUCCAAAUAUAUGUAUGUGUAAAGUAAAAUGUGCAGAGUGUGUACCUGAAUCGUAGAGUGGUGUGGUCAGAGUGUGUUUGGCAUGUUGAGGGAUCUCCCCCGUACUUGUUUUCUGCUUUCUUGCACAAAAAUAAAGUAGAGACACACAAGACAUAAUAAUAAUAAUAAUAAUAAUAAUAAUAAUAAUAAUAAUACUCUUUAUUAAUCUUGAGGCAUUUAUUACAAAAGACUUGUCGGUGUUUUCCCCCGAGGGGUCACACCAACGAGUAAAUUUGUAUGCGUGCUCCCUUUCCCGGAUGGUGAUGCAAGAAGACACAGAGAUUUAUCCUGGUUCGGGCAAGAGAAGGCCCUACGUCCAGCGGGGAGAGAGAGUUUGUAUUAUCUUGCACCUAAGUGCUUGUACAGGGGCGAAUACAAGCGUGGUAUGAAGUGUGGAGCUCUACUACGUAUGAGCGUGGUCUUGUGUCGUGAUCCCCCUGUUCUAUUCCUGAGUCCCUCCUUUUAUAGUUCCAAGGAAGGACCUAGGGUACAUGUAUAGGUGUAGGAAUUGGAGUCGAUAGCAGCAUGGAGCGCUGACCUACUCGAGGUUUCCGUACCGGCAUGACCUCGAGCCGUCCCGUCUUAAUAGCCUGGUGAUGAUCACGCGUGCCCCUGCAUUCUGCUCUGCGCGCCGUCUUGGAUU
rnacentral:lncRNA from 1 species